UGCUGGUGUCCAACCCACAGAGAGGCUGUGC
rnacentral:piRNA from 1 species